rnacentral:rRNA from 1 species
GGUUAAGUUAGAAAGGGCGCACGGUGGAUGCCUUGGCACUAGGAGCCGAUGAAGGACGGGACGAACACCGAUAUGCUUCGGGGAGCUGUAAGCAAGCUUUGAUCCGGAGAUUUCCGAAUGGGGAAACCCACUGCUCGUAAUGGAGUAGUAUCCAUACUUGAAUACAUAGAGUAUGAGAAGGCAUACCCGGGGAACUGAAACAUCUAAGUACCCGGAGGAAGAGAAAGCAAAUGCGAUUCCCUGAGUAGCGGCGAGCGAAACGGGAACAGCCCAAACCAAGAGGCUUGCCUCUUGGGGUUGUAGGACACUCUAUACGGAGUUACAAAGGAAUGAUAUAAGCGAAGAGGUCUGGAAAGGCCCGCCAAAGAAGGUAACAGCCCUGUAACUGAAAUGUCAUUCUCUCCAGAGUGGAUCCUGAGUACGGCGGAACACGUGAAAUUCCGUCGGAAUCCGGGAGGACCAUCUCCCAAGGCUAAAUACUCCCUAGUGACCGAUAGUGAACCAGUACCGUGAGGGAAAGGUGAAAAGCACCCCGGAAGGGGAGUGAAACAGUUCCUGAAACCGUGUGCCUACAAGUAGUCAGAGCCCGUUAACGGGUGAUGGCGUGCCUUUUGUAGAAUGAACCGGCGAGUUACGAUCCCGUGCAAGGUUAAGCAGAAGAUGCGGAGCCGCAGCGAAAGCGAGUCUGAAUAGGGCGCAUGAGUACGUGGUCGUAGACCCGAAACCAGGUGAUCUACCCAUGUCCAGGGUGAAGUUCAGGUAACACUGAAUGGAGGCCCGAACCCACGCACGUUGAAAAGUGCGGGGAUGAGGUGUGGGUAGGGGUGAAAUGCCAAUCGAACCUGGAGAUAGCUGGUUCUCUCCGAAAUAGCUUUAGGGCUAGCCUCAAGGUAAGAGUCUCGGAGGUAGAGCACUGAUUGGACUAGGGGCCCCUACCGGGUUACCGAAUUCAGUCAAACUCCGAAUGCCGAUGACUUAUCCUUGGGAGUCAGACUGCGAGUGAUAAGAUCCGUAGUCGAAAGGGAAACAGCCCAGACCGCCAGCUAAGGUCCCAAAGUAUACGUUAAGUGGAAAAGGAUGUGGAGUUGCUUAGACAACCAGGAUGUUGGCUUAGAAGCAGCCACCAUUUAAAGAGUGCGUAAUAGCUCACUGGUCGAGUGACUCUGCGCCGAAAAUGUACCGGGGCUAAACGUAUCACCGAAGCUGCGGACUGUUCUGACGAACAGUGGUAGGAGAGCGUUCUAAGGGCUGUGAAGCCAGACCGGAAGGACUGGUGGAGCGCUUAGAAGUGAGAAUGCCGGUAUGAGUAGCGAAAGACGGGUGAGAAUCCCGUCCACCGAAUGCCUAAGGUUUCCUGAGGAAGGCUCGUCCGCUCAGGGUUAGUCGGGACCUAAGCCGAGGCCGAAAGGCGUAGGCGAUGGACAACAGGUUGAUAUUCCUGUACCACCUCCUCACCAUUUGAGCAAUGGGGGGACGCAGGAGGAUAGGGUAAGCGCGGUAUUGGAUAUCCGCGUCCAAGCAGUUAGGCUGGGAAAUAGGCAAAUCCGUUUCCCGUAAAGGCUGAGCUGUGAUGGCGAGCGAAAUUUAGUAGCGAAGUUCCUGAUUCCACACUGCCAAGAAAAGCCUCUAGCGAGGUGAGAGGUGCCCGUACCGCAAACCGACACAGGUAGGCGAGGAGAGAAUCCUAAGGUGAUCGAGAGAACUCUCGUUAAGGAACUCGGCAAAAUGACCCCGUAACUUCGGGAGAAGGGGUGCUCUAUUAGGGUGCAAGCCCGAGAGAGCCGCAGUGAAUAGGCCCAGGCGACUGUUUAGCAAAAACACAGGUCUCUGCAAAACCGUAAGGUGACGUAUAGGGGCUGACGCCUGCCCGGUGCUGGAAGGUUAAGAGGAGUGCUUAGCUUCGGCGAAGGUACGAAUU